rnacentral:sRNA from 1 species
GUUUUUGUUUGUUUUUUA